ACCUGAGGUCAGGAGAUUGAGACCAUCCUGGCUAACACGGUGAAACCCCCUCUCUACUAAAAAUACAAAAAAUUAGCCGGGCAUGGUGGCACGCGCCUGUAAUCUCAGCUACUUGAGAGGCUGAGGCAGGAGAAUUGCUUGAACUCGGGAGGCGUAGGUUGCGGUGAGCCGAGAUCGCGCCACUGCACUCCAGCCUGGGCGACAGGUGAUUUUAAAUAUAAUCCAAAAUUAUAUUUAAAGGAAAAUAGCUUCUAGACAUGUAUGUGACCUGCCCUUUGUAUGUCCAAAGUAUUAUUGAAAAACAGUGGAAGGAUACCUCGUGGUUGUGUUAAACCAGUCUAAAUUUGGUUAGAAGUUAUAAGAGACUCAGUUGAAUUCAUGCUAGUAUGUGUUGUCUUAAACCUGAGUGCACAGCAGUUCUGGCAGAACCAACAAAAAUACUGCCCAUGAAACAACUAAAAUGGAUUUUUAAAAAAGCUGUUAUCUAAGAGUUACCUCCACCAAUACUUAAUGCAUUCAAAAUUAAAACUAACAGGAGCUAACCUUUCCCUUUCUGACAGUUUUAGAAAAUAAGCCAUUCUAAAACUUACAGAAGAUUAUCAUUUCCCUCUUGGAUUUAGAAAGUAAAAAAGCAAAAUCAGGUAAACAGAUGUUUUUGAAAUGGACUAGGGUUUAGUGACCCGAAACUCAGUUGAAUUUUUCUCGUAAUUGUUGACAGUGUGAAUGGUAAACAGACAAUUGCUAACGUUUUAUUUCCUUUUUAUAUGUGUGUUGUACUUUCAUGUCCUGUCAUAUUGAAGCAAUCCUGAAAGUAUUAACUGUUUCUUACCUUGUAUCUCUCAGUGAUACUCAACUCCCAGCUGCUCAUUUGAGCCACCUGGAGAGUUGGGACAAUGGCCAUCCUCCAUUUCCACCAGAGAGCACUCUUCAAGCACUUUUAAUGUACAGCCAAGGGGUAGAUCUGCCACCCGCAUUAUUUUGCUUGGAGAGUCAUUGGCAUCUCAAGACUUCUGGGUUAUUUUCAUUGCAGGUUUGGUUGAACACAUGACAUGAUUCAGCGCAGUCAUGAGUUCACAUGACUCACACAUUAAGUGAUUUCAUGGGUUAAAGUGAUCCCAGCCAGCAAAUGCUAAUAACAGCCAUUUAUUAUUCCUUGGAUCUUCCUACUCUUUUCUUUAACAUUUGUCUUUGGCCAUUGCCUCCUUUCUGUUAACUUUUUCAUGCUUAUUAAAGUA
rnacentral:lncRNA from 1 species